AUUUGAAGUUAAAAUAUACCAUUCCAUUCUAUUUAAACUUUUAUGCACAUUUCAAUUAUUUACAAACUUAUAUACUCCAAACUAAAUGUUCCAUUUUGGAUAUAUAAGCAUUUGUAAUACUCCUACAGUAUAGAUAAAGCUGAAAUCGUAAAGUGAUGUUGUGAAUAUGUUGAUUCUUUGAAAUACUAUUAUUAAUUUCAUUAUGCUUUAUUUACUUCUCAAUUGACGGCAUUGGAACUCAUAAAUACCACCUACCGGUUUUUAAAAUAUAUUUGCAAAUAUUACAUCUUCAAUUUAUUGCAUUUCUUCUUUGUCUAUCACUUUCCCAACACUCUACUAAAUGAAAUGCUAAUUUGUUCAAAUAGAAUGCAAAAAUUAGAUUACUUUAAUUGGAAUUUGUUUAUUAUCACUUUAUGAAAUUUAACAAUUCAUCGAGUU
rnacentral:lncRNA from 1 species